UGAUGACGUUAUCAAUCGACUGUGCUA
rnacentral:sRNA from 1 species